rnacentral:rRNA from 1 species
GGUGUAAAGGGUGCGUAGGCGGCGAGGCAAGUCAGAUGUGAAAGCCCUAGGCUUAACUUAGGGACUGCAUUUGAAACUGCUUUGCUAGAGUGCAGGAGAGGAAAGUGGAAUUCCUAGUGUAGCGGUGAAAUGCGUAGAUAUUAGGAGGAACCCCAGUGGCGAAGGCGACUUUCUGGACUGUAACUGACGCUGAGGCACGAAAGCGUGGGGAGCGAACAGGAUUAGAUACCCUGGUAGUCCACGCUGUAAACGAUGAGUGCUAGGUGUUGGCCCGU